GUCACUCUGCCUGUUUCAAGGACUUGUCCAGGGGCUGUGCUUUUGCAAUAAUGUUCCUCCCGAAGUAUGUCAUCUUCAAGGAGAUUCAUAAAUAGGACUUUGUUAAAACAAAGGCUGUCCACGAAUCUCCUUGGAAGGGACUAGACCAGGUCCUCCUCACUGCCCCGAUGGCAGCCAGGCUUCAGGGACCCAAGCCUUGGGUACACAUCUCACAGCCGAAGAAGGCUCCUCCUGACACCUGGUCCUGUGCAGACGCUGGAGAGUCUCUGCCUCCGAUGACUAGAAGGGAAGGAGCUGACAUCCAUCCAUCAAAGAUGCCAGGUCAAGACUUGCUACUUUAA